rnacentral:rRNA from 1 species
UACGAAGGGGGCUAGCGUUGUUCGGAUUUACUGGGCGUAAAGCGCACGUAGGCGGCUUGUUAAGUGAGGGGUGAAAUCCUGGAGCUCAGCUCCAGAACUGCCUUUCAUACUGGCAAGCUAGAGUCCGGAAGAGGUGAGUGGAACUCCUAGUGUAGAGGUGGAAUUCGUAGAUAUUAGGAAGAACACCAGUGGCGAAGGCGGCUCACUGGUCCGGUACUGACGCUGAGGUGCGAAAGCGUGGGGAGCAAAC